UUGGCAUUUAUUGUGAUUUCCACCCUGCCUUGCCCCUUUAAAACUAAUGUAGAAGAGAAUAAUUAUAACUGUCUUUUCCACAGUAAACCAGAUCUUCACAGAUGGAAUGAACUUAGUGAUUUAGAUGUUUACUCUUUUGUUUUACUUUCAUUGGUAGUUGCCACCCUAAAUUUAAAAUUAAAGUCACCAGUGUUAAACACUGUUGUUUUUCACAUCCUACUGCCUCUGGCUGCAGCUUUUAUUUCUGCACCCCAUUGCGGAGGGAGUUAGGAUUGGAAGCAGAGACAGAGGUUCCUCAACCCAUUGCGGAGGGAGUUAGGAUUGGAAGCAGAGACAGAGGUUCCUCAGUUGGAACAGUAGGUAUUACACUUUCCCCCGGGGCAGUCUGCACAGCAUCGGCCAUCUUCUUCAUUUCCGACACUGGUAUGGCCUGUGUUCACCUCUGGGAUUCUUCAUUUCUAGUAUCUUUGCAUGCUAUUGAAGAAAGGGCCAUUCAGCACAGGCUGAAGGGGGGCCUGUGCCCUUGUGGACUUGUCUAUGGCAGUAGAAUAUACCAUUUUGAUUGAUCAAAAUUAGAGUUUAUGGAAAAAAUCAGUUACUACAUAUAAAUUGCCAAUUAAAAAAAUUAAGAAUACACUAAUAUAUGGAACAACUUUUAGACUUCUGCAGUAUCUUGGAGCGAAUAGCAAUUAUUCUUUUGCUGUAGUUAUGACGAGGUGGCAGUGUUCUAGUUGGCAAGAUGCCAGGUCACAGGUAUCGGUAUGUCAUAGGAGUCACAACUGUUAGCGUCUCUGUCUCUCAUAUUAGCAUUUAUAAGGCAUUUUCUCAUACGUUAUCUUAUUUGUCACUUCUACCCUGUUGGUUUGUAGGGCAAGUUUUAUUACUUUAUAUUUUGGACAGGUAAGAUUAAAAUCUGAUCUUACUGGUAAUUUUUCCUUUAUUUGCCCCCUUUUUGGAACUUAUGUUUCUUAUUUUAAAAAUUACUAUAUUAUUACUUAUUUAUUAGUUAUAUAUUGCUAUAUAACUAUACUAAUGACUGUUACUAAGAACUGUAAAAAAUAACUAUUUAAAAAAUAACUGUUAUUUAUUAGUUAUAUAUUGCUGUAUAACCAUACUAAUAACUAUGUUACUAAGAACUGUAUUAGAACCAUGCUAUGGGAUGAAAAACCUUCCAUAGAAGAUUUGCCAUGGUAUUUCUAAAAGGAUUUUUUACUACCGAUAACUUAUUAUAAGGUGAAUUUAAUCAUUAACAUUGGUAUACGUUCUAUUUUUAGUUCAACAUUUUUAAAUUUCAAGGAAAUAUUGAACACAUUUAAGGGUAGCUAAAAACAUCUAUGAAAAAACAUUGCUUUUUUUUUUUUUUUAUUUGAAGAAAACUGGUAUUCAUACUGGUUUGCAAGCAAGACAGCUAUAUCAAGAAAGUUAAUUUUAGAGAUCUACCCUAUCCACACUGUUACGAUUAAAAAAGAGAAAGGCAGAAUAUUAGUUGCCUGUUUCUAAAAAUGCAUCUUCUAUAUGUUUGGAAAACUUUUUUAAAAAGGGUUAAGAAAUUUUGUAUUCUUGUUUAAUUUCCAAUUUACUAGAAUAAAGAACACUGUUGUUGGCCACUGGAUGAUUUAAAAAUGUAUUAUUAUAUUUAGCAGAAAUACAAGCAUAAAACUUGAUUGCCUUUCCUAUAAUCAGCUUGUGUACUUCUCUCAGUGGGUAAACAGAAGCACUUUCUGUUAUAAAACAUGCCUUCUGAAAAGCACAAAAGGAGCAGUACAGUUGAUGCAGACGUUCUGCUAGUUUUCACGUCUUGUCUGUUUGUCACGGGAGUCCAUGCAGAGUCCUUUGCUAGGACCUGCCAGUUGUUGCUCUCUAUAAAUGGUGUGUAAUGUAUUAAAUGUAUUUUGAAAUUAUAUUUUUAAGAAUUAAUCUCAUCCUUAGGCAUUUAAGGAACUCUCUUUUGAGUUUUUUCCUUGCUUGUACUGGUUCACUUUCAAUCUAAAUUAAACUUAACUUCAGUCUGUUUGGUUCCCUAUUUUCAACUUGAGCUUCACAGUUAACGUUUUCUCAUUCAGCUGCUUUCAUUUCAAGGGUCGUGAUAUGCACUUAAUUCUUAACACUCUCCUUUAGACAUGAUUUCUUGGAUUUGGCUUCAAUUUUUAAUGCAGUUUCUUGUUGGAUCAGCCCUACAGUUUAUUGCUUGUGCUACCUAAUCCCUUUGUCUGUCUAUGAAGGCAUUACUACUGAAUUGCCAGUAUCUUUCCUAUUCAGGGCUUGUGUAUCUUUUUCCUAUUCAUCUAGCAUGCCUAAAUUGGUUGAAGCAGUUCAGAUACCUAGAGGCCCUACAGAAUAAGGUGACCUUUUAAAGACAUAACUGGAUAAGGGAGAGCGAUAGGGAUAAAAAGGCUUAAGAUUUGUGGCUGUAGGUUAGUUCUAGUUAUUGUUUGGGGAAGGAACAAAGAGAUAUAUAUUAGGGAUGAAUAUUGUAUGUGUGUCUACCUUAUUUCAGAGUCACUAAGGAGAAUAUGAAGGAAAUCCUUUCUGGUACCUUAUUUUGAUGCCAUAGUCCCUCGGUGGGAUCUGGGAUCAUGAACAGCACAUCAUAUGUUGCCACAAGCUGAAAAAUAUUUCAUAAUAACUUCAAUUUAAUGUUGCUAUGUACUUUGAAUACUUAAAAAUCUACUAUUUCCUACAGAAUCCUUAUAUCCCCAUUUUAUAGAUAAAAUAAUUUGACUGUAAAUGACUUGUUCAGAUUCACAUAGCUUUGUGGAAGAGUCAAUCUAAAACAAUCUAAAUCCCUGGCCUGCAAUCACCAGUGACACACAAUUUGUUUUGAUAUCUGUCUUCUGGUGAAGAAUGUUUAUUUUACACUUUAGUAUAAUUAUUAAGCCAUUGCUUAUAAUGCUAGGAGAAUCUAGGAGCUGAGAGCAUAGUCUACAAGAAAUUCAUACCUCUCUAAAGUGAAUACCUAAUUCUUCUAUUCUUGGUUGAAAUCCUUAUUGAUUUUAAAAUUUGGUAUGAUUAUAUGUCUACCAGCCAUCCUUCUCCCCUGUCACUUAGUGUCUUUUUUGAAUAGUGCCUUUUUUUUUUUUUUCCUCCAGGCUAAACAAAGAUAGAUUCAGUUACUUAUUUUCUCUUUCACAUGGAAAUCUUGGCAGAUUUUUAGAGGUGGGAUCCAAGAGGUGGCUGUGGGAGAGACAUGAAAAUUUGAGAAACAAACAUUGUUUAGGUAGAUGUAAAGACGUUUCUGUGCUUGAGUAAGUUAUUUUAUUUUAUUGUUUUGCCAACAACGCACAUGUCAAGAACCAGGUGUAAAUCUGCUGUGGUUUGAAAACUGCAAUCGGAUUUGAAAAACAUGCAAUAUGGGUAUUACUUCAUUGAAAUUCUUUUUUAGUCUCUGUGUUUCUCUCUGCCAUUUAUAUUCUGACCAUUGCUUUUUGUACUUUUUCUGAUUUUGUCUUUUUUCUUUUCUGUUUCUAUAUACUUCCAACCACCACUUUCUAAACACUUUUUCCUUAUCUGACCAUAACUACUUAAGUGACCAUAGAACUUAUUUGAUACUUUAGUUGCUGCGUUUGUGAAACAGGAUGUCACAUUUCCUAUUUACAGUGUAGUGGAAUUGCUUUUUACACAAUAUGAGUCCCACCUUUUUUUUUUUUUUUAUUUU